rnacentral:misc_RNA from 1 species
UGACGAUGAUGAUGAUGAUGAUGACGAUGAUGAUGAUGAUUGGCAGCCUACAUAAAAGGAAAGAAGAAUGGACACAUCAGCGUCUGUCCAUUGUGAAAUCUUGAAGAUCCUUCGUUUGUAUGGAGCUGAUGGCAAUUCUUGCUUGGACAUGGCAGACUCAUCUGUUGCACUUAAAGAACUCCUCACCGAACCCUUAGAUAUAUGCACAGUGUCGAUACCCAUUCCAUGGACUUCUACUUCUAAGAAAUAUGAAGUCAAAUUGGCCAAAGUUGCUAGGCGACAAGAGUGUGAUGUGAUACAUGAGGAAAUUUGGUAUCAUAAAGAGCACGUAGGAAGUGGAUCAUUUGGCCAUGUAUUCAUUGGAAUCAAUGAAAAGGAUGGCAGAGAAGUGGCCGUCAAGCGCAUUGAGAAAUUACGUAUGCAGCGACCAGAAGACAAACGAGAGAUUACAAACGUCGCAGAUCUUGCAGACUGCGAACAAAUUGUUCGUUAUUUGCAUUUCUUUGAAGAGGAAAAGUUUUCAUACAUUAUUUUAGAAUUGAUGGAAGGAAAUCUUGACGAGUACCUUACUGAUAGUUCCACAUUUGACGCCACAAAAAGUACUCAGCUUUGUCAAGAUGUAGUCAAGGGUUUAAAGUUUCUUCAUGAGCAGAAUAUUAUUCAUCGCGACCUGAAGCCAGGGAACAUUCUCUACAAGACACAUCCUCAUCUUCGUUUGAAAAUUGCAGACUUUGGUCUCAGCCGUCGCAUUGAUAGUAGCGCAACCACAGUGUAUGGUACUAAUGCAGGAACGAGGUGUUGGAUGGCCCCAGAAGUGUUGAUGGAUACUCCCAAUCAUUCCAAGGCAUCCGAUAUGUUUUCAUGUGGACUUGUUCUUCAUUACAUUCUGUCCGUACAAAAACACCCAUAUUCUAAGAACAAUAGUCAAAAGCCUCAUCAAAUAGAAACCAACAUGACAAAUGGGAGUAUAGAAGGAUGGGAUGACUGUCUUUCUCCAGAAGCCACUCACCUAGUCAAGAACAUGCUUGGUAGUGAUAAAGACAAACGACCAGUUGCGGCAGAAAGCCUGGAUCAUCCAAUGUUCUGGUCANAUAAGAAAAAAGUUGAUGUUCUUGUUGCUGUUGGAAACCAGUCAGUGUUUGGUUACCAACGUGCAACAAGAAAAACUCUAACUGCUGUGGAGGCCGACUUGGAGAAGAGCUUUAGUACCAUAGUCGUGCAUGGAGUGUGGAAUGACCCCAGGUAUAAGGACAUGCCUCAUAUCUACGCUGAAAUGACAUCCAGCAAGAGAAAGUAUUACGAUAAUCACUCUGUAGUAGAGUUAGUGCGGUUUAUACGCAAUGCUUACGCACAUGUCUCUGAAGGCACACGAAAGAUGUUACUGGAUGACUUUGUGUUUCUGAAAUAUUUCUUUCAUCUUGUGAUGGAAGUGUACAAAGUUGUGACCGAUCAUGGAUGGAAUCAAACAAUAGAUGAAGUCAAGUACGCGAUAAACAGCUGAUGACUGUCAUGUACUGUGUGUAAAGGUACCAACGUCACGGAGACGCAAGAGACACAAGAUUGUUAUCAACCAUGUAUGAACACUGGUAUUGUAAAGGACCAUCAUUGAUAUAUAAUUGAUUUAGUAGGGGAGGGGAGGGGUAUCAAUCAGUAGGAUAAACAAG